UACGAAGGGGGCUAGCGUUGCUCGGAAUCACUGGGCGUAAAGGGUGCGUAGGCGGGUCUUUAAGUCAGGGGUGAAAUCCUGGAGCUCAACUCCAGAACUGCCUUUGAUACUGAAGAUCUUGAGUUCCGGGAGAGGUGAGUGGAACUGCGAGUGGUAGAGUGAAAUUCGUAGAUAUUCGCAAGAACACCAGUGGCGAAGGCGGCUCACUG
rnacentral:rRNA from 1 species